UUCCGCCCGAGGGAAGCGGCUAGGUAGUUGCAACCUACUCGGUGCACAUGGGAGGUAUCCAGGAGCAUAAGUACCGGGUUCUCGCGACGCAUGGAGUGAUUAGAGCAAAUAGAAACAGAGGGAUUAGCCGCCGGGCAGAGAGUGCCUCGAAGGGCGGAAGAGGGCGUGCUUCCAUUGUCAAACCCACGGCGGGGAGUGCCCGACAUUUUCUUGCUUGAACCGGACGGUCAAAUUUGGGGGUCGCGGUGCCAGGGCAGCAGUCGAGCGCCAUUAGAUUUCUCGCCGGAGUUGGCGGAUCACGGUCGCGUCCUCCAUUGCCGUCACCGGGGGUCUCGUCGCAGGAAAACUUCGGUAAGACCUCACUCCUGGGCUUCGUCACCCUCCCUGUUGCAAGUAGACUCUAGUAGGAUAGAACUUGGUGGACCAUGGUGCUUGGCUUGGUACUCCCACGGGUCAUGCCGCCACGGGUACUGGGCGCCG
rnacentral:lncRNA from 7 species